rnacentral:rRNA from 1 species
UACGUAGGGGGGCAAGCGUUGUCCGGAAUCAUUGGGCGUAAAGCGCGCGUAGGCGGCCCGGUAAGUCCGUUGUGAAAGUCAAAGGCUCAACCUUUGAACGCCGAUGGAUACUGCCGGGCUAGAGUCCGGAAGAGGCGAGUGGAAUUCCUGGUGUAGCGGUGGAAUGCGCAGAUAUCAGGAGGAACACCAAUAGCGAAGGCAGCUCGCUGGGACGGUACUGACGCUGAGGCGCGAAAGCGUGGGGAGCGAACAGGAU